GUUAUUAUUACUGUUAAUAAUCUUCGUUAUUGUUGUGGUAAAGUUGCUUCAUCAUUGUCAUCAGCACUGUGAUGUAUUUUACCUUUGUGUUGUAGAUCACUGUUGGAAGGUUUUCAGUAAGCCUUAAGAAAAGCCAGAACCUGUCGUACAUCAUCCGCAUCCUUAUCUUCAUCGGCAUCACAAUCUGUGGUAAAGAACUUCAUGAGCACAUCAUGCUCUAAACUCAACUGGAAAGGGAUUGUUGAGAAUAGAUAUAUUAGAUAAAUUAAUAUAAAGACGUUAAUAUUAAUGAGACAGAGACCAGCAAUCGGAAUUUCAAUCAGUGCUUUAUCUUUUGCAAAAGAGGGAGAGUGACACGACCAAUGUCAUGAACAAAACUCCAAAGAUGAGCUGGGCGCAGCCAGUCUAUAUAGUUCAUAUAGUUCCUCAAAACAUGUUUCAUGAGCAGGCAGGGGGCAUUAUUCUGAGACAAGGCAUUGACCCUUGUCUGACCCUUGUCUUAUCAGUAGGUGCCUGACAGCAAAAACAGGAUGUAUCACUUCAGCAAAGUGUCACAAUCAUUCAUAUCGCAAGAGUUGGUUCCUUAAUUCAGUACAUGUAAGCAUUCAGAUUAAAAUAAUUAGAAGAUUAGAAUAACAAUGUAUUACAUUUGUCUAUCAAUAUCAUAACAACUGUGUUUUAUCUCAGAACUUUUGUUUUGUAAGUCAUUUUGGAAAAACAGACAAAAGCGUCUUCCAAAUUCCAUAACCAUAACAACUAUGAAUAAAUAAAUAAUUUCAUUUAAAAAAUAAAGACAAGAGAAGGUUUCUAGAUGUGAACAUGCCAGUUGUGUUUGUGAGAAGCUUUAGUCAGUGUACCAGCUGCAACACUGGUUGCCAUGGCUGCUCAGCUGAGUUGUCACAUGAUGGGAAUCUGAUUCUUUGAAAUGGAGCACCAUCUCGUGCCCUGCACGUGUGAGUGUGUGUUUUCACUGGUGUUCAAGUUUUGUCAGCAAUUUUUUUUAUUUAGUCUUAUUGUUGAAUGUCCUUGUUAUUUUUUUUUUCAUAUUUAGUCAACUGUAUUCUGUUUUUUUAGUCAAGGUUUAGUUGACUAAAAGUCUGGGCUGAUUGCAAUCUAACUGAAACCAUAUACCUGCCUUGCAAGCACCUGGCAUACUGUUAGCACUGAGCGUCUACAUUUAUAUGUGUGUGGCGUGUCCUGAUAUGACGAAACUGUAGCAUAUGCCAUCCAAUGAACAGGAUAUUUGGAUAGUAAUUUAGGAACAAAAACAUCUCCUCUUCUUUGUCAAUGAAAAUAAAGAGAGAUUUUUGUAAACAAAUUCUUUUGUAAAAGUACAUUUUAGUCUCGUAGUUUUUCAUCAACAAUAUUGCAUGUUGAUAUAGUCACAGUUAAUGUUUAAUUAUGUCAGUGCUGUCUCGUCGUCGUCUUGUUUCUCAUGGAAAGUGCUCUCACUGGUGUGUGUGUUUAUGUGUGUGUGUGUGUCAGUGGUGGUGGGGGUGGCAGUUGUGUACUUGAAUCGUGAGAAGCAGAGGAUGCUGAUGAAUCAGAAGGCUCCAGAACGGCUGGAGAUGCUAGAAUACGACGACAUCGGCCAAGGUUUUGUGGAGAUGCAGACAGACAGAUCAGGGCUCAUCUCCAGCACUGGAGCCGUACCCUUCCUGGAUUACAAGCAUUUUGCUUCUAGAAUGUUCUUUCCUGAGGGUGGACCUCUGGCAUUGUCUAUGAGGAAAGAUAUGACUCAG